CGGGCGGCUGGACACACUUCACGGGAGCAGAGGCAGGGGAGGCGGAGCUGCGCGCGCCCCCGGCCCGGCGUACUCACCCCCAUCUCCUCUUCCCGCACCACGUACUGCGCCACCUUGAAGGAGCUCAGGUACUCGUUCAUGCCCUGCAGCUCCGUGUCCUCCGUCUCAUCCUGGUUGCGGUCC